UGAUUGACCUCCUUGUGUGUGUGUGUGGACAUCUAUGCUGUGCAAGUUUGUUGUUGCUGAUUUCCAAAGAUGGAGAAACAGGAAGUGGAUACAUAAGAGGCACGUCUAUCUAGAAGUCAGUUUUAAUGUAGGCCUAUUGAUUUUAACAUUAUUUCAUAGUUUGCGAAUCGACGAAGAUGUCCAGAAGACGUGCCUAUGAAAAAACUUCAGGAAGUUGCUUUACUGUGGUCAGCUAUGCUGAGGCCGGUCUGAUGUCCAGUAUCAGAUCCAUAACUUUGUGAAGAAUGACUUCAGAAAAGCUACUGUGAACAGAUGUGCCACGCUUCAGCUUGUAGGUCAAGGCUAGUCGCAAGAUUCUGACGUCGCAUGUUCAGACGAUCAUGAGUGCAGAUCCACGUGCCUGAGUUAAGUGAAGACUAAAAGGCUGGAAACUAAAGGUUCGGGUUUAAAAGAGAUGGAGGGACAUAGAGGCGCCCUAAAGAUCCCGAAAUUAAAAGUCC
rnacentral:sRNA from 1 species